rnacentral:rRNA from 1 species
ACGUAGGGUGCGAGCGUUAAUCGGAAUUACUGGGCGUAAAGCGUGCGCAGGCGGUCUGUUAAGACAGGCGUGAAAUCCCCGGGCUCAACCUGGGAAUGGCGCUUGUGACUGGCAGGCUAGAGUGUGUCAGAGGGGGGUGGAAUUCCACGUGUAGCAGUGAAAUGCGUAGAGAUGUGGAGGAACACCGAUGGCGAAGGCAGCCCCCUGGGAUAACACCGACGCUCAUGCACGAAAGCGUGGGGAGCAAACAGGAUUAGAUACCCUGGUAGUCCACGCCCUAAACGAUGUCGACUGGUUGUUGGAAGGGUAACCUUUUAGUAACGAAGCUAACGCGUGAAGUUGACCGCCUGGGGAGUACGGCCGCAAGGUUG